rnacentral:rRNA from 1 species
CUUUCAACAACGGAUCUCUUGGUUCUGGCAUCGAUGAAGAACGCAGCGAAAUGCGAUAAGUAAUGUGAAUUGCAGAAUUCAGUGAAUCAUCGAAUCUUUGAACGCACAUUGCACCCUCUGGUAUUCCGGAGGGUAUGCCUGUUCGAGCGUC